GUUCAUAUAAGAUAGGAUAUUAGUGAAGUCACUGGGAUUUUUUUGUCUGUCAGAAGCAUAAUAUGCUCCCUAUGGCAGCUGUCCGUUACUGUGACAGCUGAGUUCUGCUGAAGAUCUAGUAAAUCAGAGUGAAAUUACAAGACCAACAUUCAGUCUGGGCUGGAUGGCCAGCGUGCACCAUGCUCAGAGGGAACAGGGAAGGGACUCCAAGAGAUCAGCUGGGCAACACCGUCUUGACAAGGUCUGAGGCAGCCAUGACACAGCUGAACGAAUCUUCACCUCAAACAGCCUGCUGUAUCAAGUUUAUAUGGGAGAACUGGGCUAUAAAAACUGCAACUCUGUGCUUCUACAACAGUGCUAAAGUGGCCAGAUGGAUGUCAACCUAGCAAUAUGAGAGUUCCCAAAUCUGUGCAGUGACAUCUGAUGGCAUAUUUAGUGCUGGUGCUCAGAUGGACUUUGCUGCAAUGUUUCUUGAACACAGCUGCUAGUCUGUAAGUGCACAAAGUGCUUAUGAAUGGUUCUAAGGCGCUCUGGCAUAUGCUAUACUGGGAUCUCUCUGGCUUCUCCAAAGAGGAGGAAAACACAGCACUCUCUGAAAUGGCUAGCAAAGACUUUGAGGGAAGAGCAGGUUUUCUUCAAAGAGGAGGAAGUGUGCGUAUGUGUAGCUGUAUCUCAGGAGGAAAGUGGACAAGGAUCAGAGGUGGGAAGCCGGUGACAGAGACAUCAUUUUUGGAGGAAACAACUCAGCAUUGGAUGCUAUGUCACUGUUGGGUGGAAACGAGCUGCAUCUCCAGCCUCAUCCUGUGCUGUAGCUGUGAAGACUCGGGAGAGUUUCCCAUGAGUGACCUCUUCCACAAGCCCCUUCAUCCACCAAAUUCCAAAGACAGAGUUUGCAUGGUUGUGCUGCUAGUAUUUUCAAAUUCCACUCACUGGGUGGAGAAGGAUGGCUGCCCCUGACUUAGGCUCUUGUCCUGUAGCAGCCUGAUGCAACUCUGCUCCUCAGGAGGAUGAGUGCAGACAAUUGCCUCAAGGGUGAGAACAGUAGUUGAGGCCAGUACCUUUUCUGCAGCCUGUGCAAAAUAAAAGCUUUUUCGGAAAAGAAUCUGGACAAUUUCUGCAGUUCCCCUUGUACUCCUCCAGCAUACACAGUCAUUGGACUGGGGACAUUAGAAAAUGCAUUUCUUCCUAUUUGCUUUCAAAUCUUUUUGUGACCUUGUUGUUCAUGCAUUUGUCCUGUUGUUUAACCUGCUGAUACAAUCUGCCCCUGCAGCCUCCUAUGGCAGCAGAUUCAUUACUUGCUAUAUGGAAAAUAAAAUAAAAUAAAAUAAAAUAAAA
rnacentral:lncRNA from 1 species